rnacentral:rRNA from 1 species
ACGUAGUUGGCCGGAGCUUCUUCUGGAGGUACCGUCAUUUUCUUCCCUCCUGAAAGCGGUUUACAACCCUAAGGCCGUCAUCCCGCACGCGGUGUCGCUGCAUCAGGCUUUCGCCCAUUGUGCAAUAUUCCCU